rnacentral:rRNA from 1 species
UACAGAGGUCUCAAGCGUUGUUCGGAUUCAUUGGGCGUAAAGGGUGCGUAGGUGGCGCCGUAAGUCGGGUGUGAAAUUUCGGAGCUUAACUCCGAAACUGCAUUCGAUACUGCGGUGCUUGAGGACUGGAGAGGAGACUGGAAUUCAUGGUGUAGCAGUGAAAUGCGUAGAGAUCAUGAGGAAGACCAGUGGCGAAAGCGGCUCUCUAGACCGAUACUGACGCUCAUACGCGAGAGCGUGGGUAGCAAACAGG